rnacentral:rRNA from 1 species
AACGAACGCUGGCGGCAGGCCUAACACAUGCAAGUCGAGCGCCCAGCAAUGGGAGCGGCAGACGGGUGAGUAACGCGUGGGGAUCUACCUAUUGGUACGGAAUAACCCAGGGAAACUUGGACUAAUACCGUAUGCGCCCUUCGGGGGAAAGAUUUAUCGCCAAUGGAUGAACCCGCGUCGGAUUAGCUAGUUGGUGAGGUAAAGGCUCACCAAGGCGACGAUCCGUAGCUGGUCUGAGAGGAUGAUCAGCCACACUGGGACUGAGACACGGCCCAGACUCCUACGGGAGGCAGCAGUGGGGAAUAUUGGACAAUGGGCGCAAGCCUGAUCCAGCCAUGCCGCGUGAGUGAUGAAGGCCUUAGGGUUGUAAAGCUCUUUCGCCGGUGAAGAUAAUGACGGUAACCGGAGAAGAAGCCCCGGCUAACUUCGUGCCAGCCGCCGCCGUAA